rnacentral:rRNA from 1 species
UACGAAGGGAGCUAGCGUUGUUCGGAAUCACUGGGCGUAAAGCGCACGUAGGCGGCUGUGUUAGUCAGGCGUGAAAUUCCUGGGCUCAACCUGGGGACUGCGCUUGAUACGGCAUGGACUUGAGGAUGGAAGAGGCUCGCGGAAUUCCCAGUGUAGAGGUGAAAUUCGUAGAUAUUGGGAAGAACACCGGUGGCGAAGGCGGGUCUCUGGGCCGUAACUGACGCUGAGGAGCGAAAGCGUGGGGAGCGAACAGG